CCCCUUCGUAGACCCAGCGUACGUACAACGCUCACACCACCACGCCAUACGCUGCGUUAGCGGAAGUUUAAUGGCCCCAUUGGUGGGAUGCGUGGCCAAUAAAGGGCAAGAAUAAGGCGGAUUCCGCCUUCCUCGUGGCUGACUGGAUGCAUCCGCUGGUACUGAUGUACGGGGGCUGAAUGGAUGCAUCCGCUGGUACUGAUGAAGAGAAUGAUCAUGAAGGGUAAAUGGCAGUGAAGCAAGAAGAGCUGGCUUCAGGCUCAGAAGAGAAUGCUGUGCCUCUUCCUCAUGGUUUCCGGUGCCCUGCAUGUUCAGAGAAACUUCUCUAGUAAUGAAUGAACUAUAGAAAUGAUCCCUGAAAA